UAGGGAAUUUUCGGCAAUGGGCGAAAGCCUGACCGAGCAAUGCCGCGUGAAUGAAGAAGGUCUUCGGAUUGUAAAAUUCUGUUAUUUGUGGAAGAAAGGUAGUUGGAGGAAAUGCCGAUUACUUGACGGUACCAAAUGAGAAAGCCCCGGCUAACUAUGUGCCAGCAGCCGCGGUAAUACAUAGGGGGCAAGCGUUAUCCGGAAUUAUUGGGCGUAAAGCGUGCGUAGGUGGUCAGUAAAGUCUGACGUGAAAUACCCUGGCUUAACCAGGGGGGGUCGUUGGAAACUGGCUGACUUGAAUCCAGAAGGGGUAAGUGGAAUUCCAUGUGUAGCGGUAAAAUGCAUAGAGAUAUGGAGGAACACCAGUGGCGAAGGCGGCUUACUGGUCUGGAAUUGACACUGAGGCACGAAAGCGUGGGUAGCAAACAGG
rnacentral:rRNA from 1 species